rnacentral:rRNA from 1 species
UGGGGAAUUUUGGACAAUGGGCGCAAGCCUGAUCCAGCCAUGCCGCGUGCGGGAAGAAGGCCUUCGGGUUGUAAACCGCUUUUGUCAGGGAAGAAAUCUUCUGAGUUAAUACCUCGGGAGGAUGACGGUACCUGAAGAACAAGCACCGGCUAACUACGUGCCAGCAGCCGCGGUAAUACGUAGGGUGCAAGCGUUAAUCGGAAUUACUGGGCGUAAAGCGUGCGCAGGCGGUUUUGUAAGACAGAGGUGAAAUCCCCGGGCUCAACCUGGGAACUGCCUUUGUGACUGCAAGGCUUGAGUGCGGCAGAGGGGGAUGGAAUUCCGCGUGUAGCAGUGAAAUGCGUAGAUAUGCGGAGGAACACCGAUGGCGAAGGCAAUCCCCUGGGCCUGCACUGACGCUCAUGCACGAAAGCGUGGGGAGCAAACAGGAUUAGAUAGCCCUGGUAGUCCACGCCCUAAACGAUGUCAACUGGUUGUUGGGAAGGUUCCUUCUCAGUAACGUAGCUAACGCGUGAAGUUGGCCGCCU